UAAGACGAACCGCCCGAACGUUAUUCGGAAUUAUUGGGCUUAAAGGGUGCGUAGGCGGCGCUGUAAGUCGGGUGUGAAAUCCUUCGGCUUAACCGAAGAAUUGCGCCCGAAACUGCAGUGCUCGAGGGAGACAGAGGUAAGCGGAACUGAUGGUGGAGCGGUGAAAUGCGUUGAUAUCAUCAGGAACACCGGUGGCGAAAGCGGCUUACUGGGUCUCUUCUGACGCUGAGGCACGAAAGCUAGGGGAGCAAACGGGAUUAGAUACCCCGGUAGUCCUAGCUGUAAACGAUGAGCACUGGAUCGGAGGAUCCUCCAUAAUCUUUCGGUCGUAGCGAAAGUGUUAAGUGCUCCGCCUGGGGAGUAUGGUCGCAAGGCUG
rnacentral:rRNA from 1 species